GUUUUUUCCCGUUAAUUACUUCAACGGCUACGUUUUAACCGCUGACAAACAGAAACCUCCGCGACCGUAACAGUGAAGAAAAUCAACUCAACCCAACCAUCGAUUCUCAGUGAUUUCGCUCUUCUUUCUGCGGAUAUUCUUUUCCACUCCUCAGAUCUAUUAGUUUUCCAUCAUUUCCGAGAAAAAGGAAAAACGAACUUUUACCUAAGAACAAAAAA
rnacentral:misc_RNA from 1 species